rnacentral:rRNA from 1 species
UACGUAGGGGGCUAGCGUUGUCCGGAAUCAUUGGGCGUAAAGCGCGUGUAGGCGGUUCGGUAAGUCCGCUGUGAAAGUCGGGGGCUCAACCCUCGGAUGCCGGCGGAUACUGUCGGACUAGAGUACGGAAGAGGCGAGUGGAAUUCCUGGUGUAGCGGUGAAAUGCGCAGAUAUCAGGAGGAACACCGAUUGCGAAGGCAGCUCGCUGGGACGUUACUGACGCUGAGACGCGAAAGCGUGGGGAGCAAACAGG